GCAUGCUGUAUCUUUCCUAACCACACAUCCGGUUAUGUCACAUUGGUAGCUUAAAAUUGACGGAUUCUGCAAUCGAUGACUAAAUGGUGAAACUAAUCUCCCUUUGUAACCACCUAGGGAUAAUAGUGGUGGAAAGAGAGAAGGACGAGACGGAGAAGUACUUACUUAUUUCAAAGUGUUUACAUCGUCGAGCUCUGUGAAGACUACACAUCAAGUCCUCCCCUCCCAAACCAGGUGUUAAACUUUUACUAGUGCCCCUCCAGUUCUGGCUGCACUCUUAACAUGCUGUGAUUUGGGGCUGUUUCUUUCAGUCUCCUGGCAUUUAUGUCUCACUUUGUAAUUUGUGAAAGGGGAGAAUCUUUUGUGUGCUGGGCGCUGUCGGCUCACAGAGCUCUGUGACCCUCAGGAAUUAGACUAUGGUGGUCCAAAGAACAAAGGACGUUGCCUCCAGGCUCCCAGAAGGUGGCGCUGUGGACUGACUCAGGGAUAUACAAGCUAUGUUCUCGUCCUAUUUUUCACUCUGUUGUUCAGCAGCAUGAAGUGUUCAACAAUGGUUGAGUGGCAGUUUCAAAUGGAGGAACAAUCUUGUCACUUGCUGGAGCCCUCAUCAACAUACAGAUCCUCAUCAGUAUAAAACUGUCAUCUGCCGCCCUGAGUGGUCCAAUAAUUCCUCCGAUUGUUGUAUAUGCCCAAUAAAUAUUGCUAGCUCGGAA
rnacentral:lncRNA from 1 species